rnacentral:lncRNA from 1 species
CAACUUAUUGCUUAUUUGUUGUCAUUCUCACUGGACCUAACUUGGGUUUUUUGACUCUUGUUCUCCAGGAUGCAUGGCAGCCCUAGAUGCAGAACAUUACCUGCAAGAAAUUGGUGCUCAAGAGGGCAAGAGUGAUUGAACAAUGAAGCUCUUCAAGUGGAAUAACUUUGAAUUAUUGUCAGUUCCUUUAAAGUUUAUAAAUUAUAAACACGUGAGUGAAAGUGGUUUUUUUUUUUUUAUUGGUCAAUCUUCAUCUUUAUUGAUAUGACAGAUGAAGAAAGGGAAUUGUUUAUGACAUUCUUUGGGUCUAUCACCCAAGAUUGAUUUGUGAAUUGCUUUUGUGUCUCGACUCUUACAUAUUCUUUCGAGUUUGAUCUUAUUAGGAUGUAACGCUUAUGUCAUUUCCUUCUUUUUUCAAAAAUGUUGAUACCGUUUGCGGUAAAUUUUGGAAUGGCACCAUGACAUUCUUUAUCAAUUUUGUUUCAUUCUUCUUUUAAUGCUGAUACGGC